rnacentral:tRNA from 1 species
GCGGCAGUAGCUCAGCUGGAUAGAGCAUCGGCCUUCUAAGCCGAGGGUCGGGGGUUCGAGCCCCUCCUGCCGUGCCA